AAAAAUUUUGAAUUUUUUUUUUUUUAAUUGAUUAGAUCAAUUCAAAUUUUAAAUAAAAGAAAAGGAAAGAUCUAAUUUGAUUAGAUCAAAUUGAUUUCUUGAUGAGAUCAAGAUGAUAUUUUUGUAGAUUAAAUUGUUGAUCAAAAUUAUAAUAAUCAAUAAGAUUGAUUAUUUUUAAUAAUUUAUUCUUUCGAAUCAUCGGUUAACGGUUAAUUAGAAUAUCCAAAAUUUAUUAUUAUGCAUGUGAUGUAUGAGAUACGGUGAUGAUCAUGGAUAGCAACCUAUUUAUUUUUGUUUCGACAUGUGAUGUAUGAUGUGUAUGCAGAAUCCUGUAAUUUUAAAUUUGUUUAAAUUAAGGA
rnacentral:lncRNA from 1 species